CCUACGGGCGUCUGCAGUAGGGAAUCUUCCACAAUGGGCGAAAGCCUGAUGGAGCAACGCCGCGUGGGUGAUGAAGGUCCUCGGAUUGUAAAGUUCUGUGUUGGGGGAUGAACACAAUGACGGUACCCCAAUAGCAAGCCUCGGCUAACUACGUGCCAGCAGCCGCGGUAAUACGUAGGUGGCAAGCCUUAUCCGGAAUGACUGGGCGUAAAGGGUGCGUGGGUGGUUUAGUAAGUUGGCGGUGUAAUUCCGGGGCUCAACCUCGGCGCUACCGCCGAAACUGUUAGACUAGAGUGCAGGAGAGGUAAGUGGAAGUCGUGGUGUAGCGGUGGAAUGCAUAGAUAUUAGGAGGAACAUCAGGGGCGAAGGCGGCAUACUGGAGUGUAACUGACACUGAGGCACGAAAGCGUGGGGAGCAAACAGGAUUAGAUACCCCAGUAGUC
rnacentral:rRNA from 1 species